GCGGGGGUACCCAAGCGGUCAACGGGGCAGGACUCAAGAUCCUGUGGCUUAGUGCCUUCGGGGGUUCGAAACGGAAAUCCUCCCCCCCGCA
rnacentral:tRNA from 1 species